rnacentral:snoRNA from 1 species
CUCCAUGCUUCCAUGGGACCUGCCAUUGUGGCAGCCUCCCUUCCUAUUCAUGGUAGAAUAACCGUCACCUUGCUUUUUGGCAUAGCUCCCCCACCAUGCCAUUGGGGAGAGAUUCUGACUUGGGCAAGUAACAGGU